UGGGCAUUCAGCCCGGGGCGCAGCCCAUCCUGCAGACUCCCUGGCCCGGGGUGGUUGGUUGCAGGCACCGCCACCCACCACCGCAGGUCGCCGCCCGCCGGCGUUCUCUAGCCUCCAGGAGCUUUUCCCACCUCGCCAAGCCAGUAGCCACACGCGGCUGCGGCUACCCGCGCCCGCGGCCUUAGUUCAUGGCCUGGCCGUCGGCGUCGCCAACUCCCGUCUUCCUCCCCGAGCCCCAUCACGGGAACGGGGAACAGCUGUCCAGCCGGCAACCCCCAAUCGAAGCCAAAGGUGAGAAGGGGGUUGCAGGCAGGAGCUAAGCUGAUGAGGAAAGUGGCAUGCAAGGUCUUCAACAGAUCCAAAGGAUGGGCGCCUGCUGGAAGAAGAAUUACUGCAUGAGUUCUACUCUCCCUAUUAGCGCUGUUUUAAUCAGGCUGCUAUGUGUAGCGUCUCUCGUUUUGGUUUUCUGGCGAUUCCUGUAGACUUUUGCGCUGUGUGGCGCUGCCUCGCGAGCUGCUGUUUUGGUGGGAUUCCCAGUUGCAUCUGGAUGUUCUCCUUGCAACCUUGCAACUGAAGUUUGAUACAGCUAUGUGUAGCUGUUUCCUCUCUGUUUUAAACCUUGUAGAACUUAUAUGGCUUUGUUAAUAAAGUUGGGGAGGAAUCCCUUAUUUCAAAAUAUAUAAA